rnacentral:lncRNA from 1 species
AAAAGGUCUACAAUAAGAGGCAUAAUGUACUUGUUCUUGAUGGUCACUUUGUUCAGCGUUGUAUAAUCGAAGCCCGAGGCAAUCUCGAUUGAAGCCAAUUCAAUAUUUUCCUACUCAAUCUUCUUUAUAGAAAUAACACUCGAUCAAAGGGGAGCAUAAGCAAGUUCAGUGGUAGAAACCUCUGUAAUCGAUCGAUGGGAACCUCGAAGCUGUCUGGGGCAGGAGAAAACUCAUAUUAAGCACUGCCCCAGCAUCAACUGGUACAAGGAGGAGGCACGAUAGCGAAGAUCAAUCCAUCUCAAUCUACAAAAAGCAUUGCCUUGGGCAUGCAACCCAAAAAGAUAGAAAGACCGCUCGCUCGAAGAAAACUCUUUUAGAGUCUGGUACC